GCAGUGUGAUGAAUUAGUUGCAUAUUCGCAACACAUCAAAUAAGAUCGUACGUGAAUCCAACAUGAAUCAACGAAUCGUGUUCGUUCUUGUCUUCGCUGUGGUCAUGCUCGCAGUUAUUUCCUCGACUAGCGGUCACAAUCAUUUCGAGUGGAACGGAUGUCAGUGCCAAGCUGGAGGUGAAAGAGGCGGUCAUUGUCAUUGUGCGUGGGACAAUAAGCCGGCCGGUGUUUACUGUCGCGAAGGCAGCAAUCAUUGGAUUUGCUUCCCAUCGAUUUUCUGAGAAAUUUGGCCGGAACUUUGAUCCAUUUUGCUGGAUUGUUUUUGAAGUGAGAUUCAUUAGAAACUGUAUUUAAAUGGAUCGACCAUGGCAGAAUAAACGUGAAGUAAAUACUUUGA